GACGAACGCUGGCGGCGUGCUUAACACAUGCAAGUCGAACGGGAGUAUUGAAGAAGCUUGCUUUAGAGAUACUUUAGUGGCGGACGGGUGAGUAACGCGUGAGGAGCUGUCCGAUGCAGGGGGACAACAGUUGGAAACGACUGCUAAUACCCCAUAAGCCGAGAGGUAAAAGGAUUUAUCCGGCAGAGGAGGUACUCGCGUCCUAUCAGCUAGUAGGUGAGGUAACGGCUCACCUAGGCGAAGACGGGUAGCCGGCCUGAGAGGGCGAACGGGCACACUGGAACUGAGAUACGGUCCAGACUCCUACGGGAGGCAGCAGUGGGGAAUAUUGGGCAAUGGGGGGAACCCUGACCCAGCGACGCCGCGUGGGUGAAGAAAUCCUUCGGGAUGUAAAGCCCUGUUGUAUGGGAAGAGCGGAAGACGGUACCAUACGAGGAAGCCCCGGCAAACUACGUGCCAGCAGCCGCAGUAA
rnacentral:rRNA from 1 species